UUGAAUACGUCGGGUUUCUGAUGCUGGCCCUUAACUGGGCAUGUGCUCGUUCCCUUCUAUUUAUCUUCUCUUGUGCACCUUUUGUAGUCUUGAAAAAGUGAACCUUUCGCAGCAAUGCGGUUUGGGGGCUGCGUUAACUCGCUGCCCCUGCUUGCUUUCUUCAUGGCUAUGUUUUCAUAUACACUAUAAAGUUACAGAAUGUCUUUUAACGAUUGUGCUAGUCGCAGUCAUUAAAUCUAUA
rnacentral:misc_RNA from 1 species